ACUAUAAAUAAAUAUUCUGCAUCAAUUUUAGGUGUGCUACUGUGGGUGGCUCCGGCACACCCGUGGCUACGCCCCUGCCGUGACCCAAAUCUCGUUCGCACAUCAUCGCGAUAUGUAUCAUCUGUUUACAAACGUCGCCACUCGUUUCUUCACAUACAUCUCAUGCUCCUCCAUCUACACGCUCCACAACAUUUAAACCAACGGCUCUUUUAAGAGCCAUCACUUGCAAAAGCUCUCGUACUCGCUCUCCUACUCACUCACUCACUCUCCAACUCACUCACUCUUCUAUAGGGCUGUGCAAAAUAUGUAUAUGCUUUGAAAUAGUUGCAGCUUCCUGGCAUAACUGGUCAAAACCUGAAGAUGCCAUAUUGAAGAAAAGAAAGAAUGCAAAGAGAAAUAGGCAAAACAAAUUGAAAGAGGGACAAACAGAGAGAGGGGGGAGAGUGAGAGAGAGUGAGUGAGUGAGUGUGUGUGUAUACGUAGGAGAGUAGGGCUGUGCUAAAUAAUCGUCUGCGAUUCUCAUGCGUGUUUCAUCAGUAAAGCCGGUUCCGUGAUUAGAAGUAAAUCGCCAUCAGCUGCUUUCAGAUGGAGCGGCAUUUAUUACACAGACCCGUAGUUCACAGAGAACCCUACUCUCCUACGUAUACACACACACUCACUCACUCACUCUCUCUCACUCUCCCCCCUCUCUCUGUUUGUCCCUCUUUCAAUUUGUUUUGCCUAUUUCUCUUUGCAUUCUUUCUUUUCUUCAGUAUGGCAUCUUCAGGUUUUGACCAGUUAUGCCAGGAAGCUGCAACUAUUUCAAAGCAUCUUGACAUGAAAGCUGACAAAGCUGAACUUGGAGCAGCUACCAGAGAGGCUGAAGAAAUUCUACAAAUGUUCAAUCCUCCACUGCUGAAAAAGAUGACCAAACGAGCGAUUUCCUGGACUCAACAGACACAGUGAACUUUGCACUGCAUUUCAAAGCCAGCUCCUCAGCCGCAACACCGAGAACCAGAGUUGAGGUCAAUGUACUGCUGAGAAAAGUGCAAGAUCUGUUUAACCAAAAUUAUAAGGAUGCCGGAGGUACUGGAAGGCUCCCCUGGUAAAUCAAGGCAUGACAGUUAAAGUUGCAGGACUGCCCAACAGCCUUACUUUCAAAAAGCCAUCCUAUUGUGGAAGGAAGCAGUUGGAGGCCAUUUUGCAAGCGGCUGAGGAGAUUUCAUUUGAAAUCAG